UAAGUCUAAUCUAAUUUUUUAUUUUUUACUAUAAAAAUUUAAAAUGUAUAAAUAACUUUUAAAUAGUUUAGACUGUUUGUAUUAAAUAUAAAUUUUAAUUUUAUACUAUUAAGCAUUUAGAUAUAGAUUGUACAUUAAAAAAUAAAAAAAAGAUUGAUGGCGUUUAAGUUAAUUUUAUAUUUUAUAAAAUUUAGUUGCGAGAAUCAUAUAAAAUAUACUAUCUAAAUCUGUAAAACUGAGUGAUACAUUCGGAUUUUUAAAAUCAAAAUACCAUUGACUGACACAAGUUAAUAUAUCGAAAAAUUGAAUAAUCAAAAUAAAAUUUUGAAAGAUUGGAUUUACACAUUUCGUUCUUCAAGCUACAAGACGAGUGACACUUUAAUUUUCGAACUUUAAUAUGUUAUGAUUUAAACUAUGAAGCAUAUAACACUUUUAUUCUCGAACUUUAAUCGGUUACAAUUUUUGACUUACAAUAUAAAGUAUAUUAGUUUAGUUCUCAAUAUUUAUUGCUGCUAUAAAUAUCAUUUAUUAUUCGUCUGAUUUUCACCCUUAUUUUUUUAAUCCUUUUUAUAAUUUAUUCUUAUAUUUUUAUUGCAACAAUAAUUGCUUAUUCUUCACUUAUUUAUUUUUAUGGAAUCGUCCCAC
rnacentral:lncRNA from 1 species